rnacentral:rRNA from 1 species
UACGUAGGGGGGCUAGCGUUGUCCGGAAUCAUUGGGCGUAAAGAGCGUGUAGGCGGCCCGGUAAGUCCGCUGUGAAAGUCGGGGGCUCAACCCUCGGAUGCCGGUGGAUACUGUCGGGCUCGAGUACGGAAGAGGCGAGUGGAAUUCCGUGGUGUAGCGGUGGAAAUGCGCAGAUAUCAGGAGGAACACCUAUUGCGAAGGCAGCUCGCUGGGACGUUACUGACGCUGAGACGCGAAAGCGUGGGGAGCAAACAGG